CACAAAUCCAAACUAACACACCAGAUCCAAAAAAGCAACACCACGCACACCAUGGAGAACGAGUAGGAGAGAAAGAAGAGAAAAAAGGUUGAACCAAAGCAAAAUUCUUCAAAUCAAAGUGAAAUCACAGGGGAGAAACAAGAAAUAAGGAAGAAAUCCAAACUAGAAAUGAAGUCAUAUGCAGAUCCUGUCAAAAUUAGCAUCAGGCAGAAAAAGGAAUCUGGGGAGACAAACAAGGAAAAACUACAAUUAGGAAUGAAAUUUACUGAACCAGUCAAGGUUGGAUCCAUGGAGAAAAAAGGUCGUGAAGCAAUACAAGAAGGAGAAACAAUUAGACAACAAUCAGAGGAGAGCAAAAAUGAUGCAAUGCAUAUUGAAGGAAGCAAAAGAAACAUCAACAUGGCUCCAGGUCAGAAAAUAUAUUUGAAUAAAUUUUGCUCUAAGAAUAAAUAAAGGUAACUACAAUUAUGUUUGUUGAUUCUAACAUAUGCUCUAAUGAUUUAUAUAAAUUUUACAGGGAGGCUGGCAUAUGCAGGAAGUCCUAAUAUCUACAAUUUGCAGGAGGGUGAAGGAAGCAGCAGCAAAAUGCCCCAUUUAGGUACUAACUAAGUUUCUAAACUACCAGGUCGACAAGCUCCAACAAAACAAUUGCAACAUACACUGAUCUAAUAUUCUGAUCUUUAUCUUUUUCAAAAUGCAGGAUGCAGGAAAAUACAACACGUAGGAAAAAACUUCAAUUCACCAGAAUUAAGCAAUACCAUAGGAACAAUUGCAUCAGAAGUUGUCAAUUAUGGAGGACAAAUGCUAUAUGAUCAAUUCACAUUGCUAAACUCAGACCCAAGACAGGAAGGACAGUUGAGCUACACUAACCUCAUGCACCAAAUAAUUCAUAGUCCAACUGUCACCAUACAGCAACAAACAG